rnacentral:rRNA from 1 species
AUUGAACGCUGGCGGCAGGCCUAACACAUGCAAGUCGAGCGGUAUUGUUUCUUCGGAAAUGAGAGAGCGGCGUACGGGUGCGGAACACGUGUGCAACCUGCCUUUAUCUGGGGGAUAGCCUUUCGAAAGGAAGAUUAAUACUCCAUAACAUAUUGAACGGCAUCGUUUGAUAUUGAAAGCUCCGGCGGAUAGAGAUGGGCACGCGCAAGAUUAGCUAGUUGGUGAGGUAACGGCUCACCAAGGCGAGGAUCUGUAGGGGGCCUGAGAGGGUGAUCCCCCAAACUGGUACUGGGACACGGACCAGACGCCUACGGGAGGCAGCAGUGAGGAAUAUUGGUCAAUGGGUGGAAGCCUGAUCCAGCCAUCCCGCGUGAAGGACGACUGCCCUAUGGGUUGUAAACUUCUUUUGUAUAGGGAUAGACCUACCCUCGUGAGGGUAGCUGAAGGUACUAUACGAAUAGGCACCGGCUAACUCCGUGCCAGCCGCCGCGGUAAUAC